rfam:Brachypodium distachyon strain Bd21 chromosome 2, whole genome shotgun sequence.
AUAUUACUUCCUCCGUCCCAUAUUAAGUGACUUUUUAUUACAUGUAUCUAGACGCAUUUUAGACAUAGAUACAUUCAUAUUUGGGCAAAUUUGGGUCACUUAAUAUGGGACGGGGGAAGUAUAUA